UACCAGCACCCCGAGUGGUCGGGACGAUUAUUGGGCCUAAAGGAUCCGUAGCCGGUUCUGCAAGUCUUCCGUUAAAUCCACCUGCUCAACAGAUGGGCUGCGGAGGAUACUACAGGGCUAGGAGGCGGGAGAGGCAAGCGGUACUCAGUGGGUAGGGGUAAAAUCCUCUGAUCCUCUGAAGACCACCAGUGGCGAAGGCGGCUUGCCAGAACGCGCUCGACGGUGAGGGAUGACAGCUGGGGGAGCAAACCGG
rnacentral:rRNA from 1 species